rnacentral:rRNA from 1 species
AUGGAUUGGUGCGGGCUCCGGUUCGACCGCGUCGUCUCCACCGGAAACCAAAGCGCCAGACCUGUACACCGCGGUCGGAGCGCCAUGGACCUGUGCAUCGGAGAGACAUGCUCACAGUGGACUUGUCUCGGGCUACAUCGUAGUGAGCUCCGGUUCGACCACGUCGUCUCCACUGGAAACCAAAGCGCCCCAUCGCGAUUGGGACGCCAUAGACUUGUGCACUGGAGAGACCUGUUUGCCAUGGACUUGACUUGGGCUACGUCAUUGCGAGCUUCGGUUCCGCCACGCCGUCUCCUCCUGGAAGCAUGGUGUAAAACCUGUAUGCCGGUGUCCCGUUCACCAUGA